UGGGGAAUAUUGGACAAUGGGCGCAAGCCUGAUCCAGCCAUGCCGCGUGAGUGACGAAGGCCUUAGGGUUGUAAAGCUCUUUUGGCGGGGAAGAUAAUGACGGUACCCGCAGAAUAAGCUCCGGCUAACUUCGUGCCAGCAGCCGCGGUAAUACGAAGGGAGCUAGCGUUGUUCGGAAUCACUGGGCGUAAAGCGCACGUAGGUGGGCAGUUAAGUCAGGGGUGAAAGCCCGAGGCUCAACCUCGGAAUUGCCUCUGAUACUGGCUGUCUAGAGUUCGAGAGAGGUGAGUGGAAUUCCUAGUGUAGAGGUGAAAUUCGUAGAUAUUAGGAAGAACACCGGUGGCGAAGGCGGCUCACUGGCUCGAUACUGACACUGAGGUGCGAAAGCGUGGGGAGCAAACAGGAUUAGAUACCCCAGUAGUCCCUGAGCGGGCUGGCAAGGCGCAU
rnacentral:rRNA from 1 species